rnacentral:rRNA from 1 species
AGGACGAACGCUGGCGGCGUGCCUAACACAUGCAAGUCGAACGGGGUGAAGCCCUUCGGGACUUCACUUAGUGGCGAACGGGUGAGUAACGCGUGAGGAACCUGCCUUUCAGUGGGGGACAACAGUUGGAAACGGCUGCUAAUACCGCAUAAGCGCACAGUACCGCAUGGUACAGUGUGAAAAACUCCGGUGGUGUGAGAUGGACCCGCGUCUGAUUAGCUAGUUGGCAGGGCAACGGCCUACCAAGGCGACGAUCAGUAGCCGACCUGAGAGGGUGACCGGCCACAUUGGGACUGAGACACGGCCCAAACUCCUACGGGAGGCAGCAGUGGGGAAUAUUGCACAAUGGGGGAAACCCUGAUGCAGCGACGCCGCGUGAGCGAAGAAGUAUUUCGGUAUGUAAAGCUCUAUCAGCAGGGAAGAAGAAAUGACGGUACCUGACUAAGAAGCACCGGCUAAAUACGUG